rnacentral:rRNA from 1 species
AACUUAAGCAUAUCAAUAAGCGGAGGAAAAGAAACCAACAGGGAUUGCCCUAGUAACGGCGAGUGAAGCGGCAACAGCUCAAAUUUGAAAUCUGGCCUCUGGCCCGAGUUGUAAUUUGUAGAGGAUGCUUUUGGUGAGGUGCCUUCCGAGUUCCCUGGAACGGGACGCCAUAGAGGGUGAGAGCCCCGUCUGGUCGGAUACCGAUCCUCUGUAAAGCUCCUUCGACGAGUCGAGUAGUUUGGGAAUGCUGCUCUAAAUGGGAGGUAUAUGUCUUCUAAAGCUAAAUACCGGCCAGAGACCGAUAGCGCACAAGUAGAGUGAUCGAAAGAUGAAAAGCACUUUGAAAAGAGGGUUAAACAGUACGUGAAAUUGUUGAAAGGGAAGCGCUUGUGACCAGACUUGGGCCUGGUUAAUCAUCCGGUGUUCUUCACCGGUGCACUUGGCCGGCCCAGGCCAGCAUCAGUUCGGCGCGGGGGAUAAAGGCUUCGGGAAUGUGGCUCCUCCGGGAGUGUUAUAGCCCGUUGCGUAAUACCCUGUACUGGACUGAGGUUCGCGCAUCUGCAAGGAUGCUGGCGUAAUGGUCAUCAGCGACCCGUCUUGAAACACGGACCAAGGAGUCGUCUUCGUAUGCGAGUGUUCGGGUGUUAAACCCCUACGCGUAAUGAAAGUGAACGCAGGUGAGAGCUUCGGCGCAUCAUCGACCGAUCCUGAUGUUCUCGGAUGGAUUUGAGUAAGAGCAUACGGGGCCGGACCCGAAAGAAGGUGAACUAUGCCUGUAUAGGGUGAAGCCAGAGGAAACUCUGGUGGAGGCUCGCAGCGGUUCUGACGUGCAAAUCGAUCGUCAAAUAUGGGCAUGGGGGCGAAAGACUAAUCGAACCUUCUAGUA